GAUGAACGCUGGCGGCGUGCCUAAUACAUGCAAGUCGAGCGAACAGACGAGGAGCUUGCUCCUCUGACGUUAGCGGCGGACGGGUGAGUAACACGUGGAUAACCUACCUAUAAGACUGGGAUAACUUCGGGAAACCGGAGCUAAUACCGGAUAAUAUAUUGAACCGCAUGGUUCAAUAGUGAAAGACGGUUUUGCUGUCACUUAUAGAUGGAUCCGCGCCGCAUUAGCUAGUUGGUAAGGUAACGGCUUACCAAGGCGACGAUGCGUAGCCGACCUGAGAGAGUGAUCGGCCACACUGGAACUGAGACACGGUCCAGACUCCUACGGGAGGGAGCAGUAGGGAAUCUUCCGCAAUGGGCGAAAGCCUGACGGAGCAACGCCGCGUGAGUGAUGAAGGUCUUCGGAUCGUAAAACUCUGUUAUUAGGGAAGAACAAAUGUGUAAGUAACUAUGCACGUCUUGACGGUACCUAAUCAGAAAGCCACGGCUAACUACGUG
rnacentral:rRNA from 1 species